rnacentral:lncRNA from 1 species
UUAUCGUGUGUCGAAGUAUCAAUCAGCGGGUGACCAGUUUAGUUCGUAAACUCGUGUGUACAAUGACAUUCCCGAUUCAACUACGGAAUCGUCAUAUGACAGUGACUGUUAAUCUGAAUUGGUCAGUGAAUUAACGGAUGAGAAAAUAAUUAUAAAAAGCAAUAUCGCUCCACGUCGGACAUCUCCCAACGACGAGCGUGAUUGACGGAGUGGCGUUUGAUUUAUAAACAAAAAUGUAGCAAAGCGUCUAUCUUUUAUCUUCUUUUAUUUUUACAUUUACAUCUAAAUCAACACAAAAAUAAACUGUCGGCUGUUGUGUCACCUAUUAUUCCUGCCAAAAUUUAUUUGGGGUCGACUUCCGUCUACCUCUACAAUCCGAACACCUGUGAAAACCGAACAAAACGCAAAGUCCCGUGGGUGUUCGGUUUGGACAGGUUUCACUGUAGUUUUACAUUCAUAAAUUGUUUAUAAGUCAUAUCUACAUGAAGCUCCUCUAUCAACUGUCCUAUGACCGAAAACCGAAAA